UUGGAGGGCAAGUCUGGUGCCAGCAGCCGCGGUAAUUCCAGCUCCAAUAGCGUAUAUUAAAGUUGUUGCAGUUAAAAAGCUCGUAGUUGAAUUUCGGGAUCAGUACGUUGGUCGUGCCUUAGGUACGUACUGGUGUUACUGGUUCCUACCUUCUGACGAACCAUCAUGUCAUUUAUUUGGUGUGGCGGGGAAUCAGGACUGUUACUUUGAAAAAAUUAGAGUGUUUAAAGCAGGCUCGCGCUUGAAUACAUUAGCAUGGAAUAAUGAAAUAGGACGUUGAUCCUAUUUUGUUGGUUUCUAGGAUUGACGUAAUGAUUAAUAGGGAUAGUUGGGGGCAUUAGUAUUCAAUUGUCAGAGGUGAAAUUCUUGGAUUUAUUGAAGACUAACUACUGCGAAAGCAUUUGCCAAGGAUGUUUUCAUUAAUCAAGAACGAAAGUUAGGGGAUCGAAGACGAUCAGAUACCGUCGUAGUCUUAACCAUAAACUAUGCCGACUAGGGAUCGGAUGAUGUUAAUUUUUUAAUGACUCAUUCGGCGCCUUACGGGAAAC
rnacentral:rRNA from 1 species